AACAAGGUCUCCGUUGGUGAACCAGCGGAGGGAUCAUUACCGAGUUUACAACUCCCAAACCCCUGUGAACAUACCACUUGUUGCCUCGGCGGAUCAGCCCGCUCCCGGUAAAACGGGACGGCCCGCCAGAGGACCCCUAAACUCUGUUUCUAUAUGUAACUUCUGAGUAAAACCAUAAAUAAAUCAAAACUUUCAACAACGGAUCUCUUGGUUCUGGCAUCGAUGAAGAACGCAGCAAAAUGCGAUAAGUAAUGUGAAUUGCAGAAUUCAGUGAAUCAUCGAAUCUUUGAACGCACAUUGCGCCCGCCAGUAUUCUGGCGGGCAUGCCUGUUCGAGCGUCAUUUCAACCCUCAAGCACAGCUUGGUGUUGGGACUCGCGUUAAUUCGCGUUCCCCAAAUUGAUUGGCGGUCACGUCGAGCUUCCAUAGCGUAGUAGUAAAACCCUCGUUACUGGUAAUCGUCGCGGCCACGCCGUUAAACCCCAACUUCUGAAUGUUGACCUCGGAUCAGGUAGGAAUACCCGCUGAACUUAAGCAUAUCA
rnacentral:rRNA from 1 species